UGGGGAAUAUUGGACAAUGGGCGAAAGCCUGAUCCAGCCAUGCCGCGUGUGUGAAGAAGGUCUUCGGAUUGUAAAGCACUUUAAGUUGGGAGGAAGGGCAGUAAGCGAAUACCUUGCUGUUUUGACGUUACCGACAGAAUAAGCACCGGCUAACUCUGUGCCAGCAGCCUCGGUAAUACAGAGGGUGCAAGCGUUAAUCGGAAUUACUGGGCGUAAAGCGCGCGUAGGUGGUUCGUUAAGUUGAAUGUGAAAGCCCCGGGCUCAACCUGGGAACUGCAUCCAAAACUGGCGAGCUAGAGUAGGGUAGAGGGUGGUGGAAUUUCCUGUGUAGUGGAGAAAUGCGUAGAUAUAGGAAGGAACACCAGUGGCGAAGGCGACCACCUGGGCUCAUACUGACACUGAGGUGCGAAAGCGUGGGGAGCAAACAGG
rnacentral:rRNA from 1 species